rnacentral:sRNA from 1 species
UUUUUGACGUUGCGUUAGGGAUUGCAGCGAUAGCCUUUUUGCUGCCGAAAGAAGUCAAAUGCAGUUUUCGACGUGAGGAGAAACACUGCUGAAAUGAUACAAACGCAGCAAAAAGCUAUAAGCGUAAAGCCCGACGGGAA